GUGGGGAAUAUUGGACAAUGGGCGAAAGCCUGAUCCAGCCAUGCCGCGUGUGUGAAGAAGGUCUUCGGAUUGUAAAGCACUUUAAGUUGGGAGGAAGGGCAUUAACCUAAUACGUUAGUGUUUUGACGUUACCGACAGAAUAAGCACCGGCUAACUUCGUGCCAGCAGCCGCGGUAAUACGAAGGGUGCAAGCGUUAAUCGGAAUUACUGGGCGUAAAGCGCGCGUAGGUGGUUCGUUAAGUUGGAUGUGAAAGCCCCGGGCUCAACCUGGGAACUGCAUCCAAAACUGGCGAGCUAGAGUACGGUAGAGGGUGGUGGAAUUUCCUGUGUAGCGGUGAAAUGCGUAGAUAUAGGAAGGAACACCAGUGGCGAAGGCGACCACCUGGACUGAUACUGACACUGAGGUGCGAAAGCGUGGGGAGCAAACAGGAUUAGAUACCGAGUAGUCC
rnacentral:rRNA from 1 species